CUGAUGAUUUUGUAGAAUGGUGGAUACCAUACCAUAAUCUGUGUGUGGUGGCAACCCUAGUGUAAGAUCUGGCUCAGGACAUGCUGGAUAGCAAUUAACUGCCAUGACCUGGGAGCCUUCUGCAAUGUCUUCAUGUAAGUAAUUAUCGUUUAGUCCUAAGCUCUCAAAUAUCACUUGCAUGAGUUCUUCUUGCAACUUUUGUGCUGCCGUGGUGUAGUUUCCCAUAUUCUUCCUGCAUGACGAAUCACUUUAGGAUCUUGAAGAAAUUAUAGCAUUCUUAAACAGUAGGAAUAUGCAUCUAUAAAGACAAACUUAUCUGCUAAGCAUAUUCAGCAAAGGAAUGAAAGACUUACUUGUAACAUGUGGGAUUUGAUGGCCACAAGUCCAUCCAAGUUGAGGUUGGAUUAGCGUAGUGCUUGAGGAAGUCUCUCCAAAAGUGUACUUUGUCUUUGACAUGAUUUAGACUGGUACCAUAUCUUACGGGGUCAUAAACAUUUGAAGAUAAAAGAUGCCUUUUAUCUUGAGGUGGUAAAUCGAAGAAUUCUCUCGCAGCUUCUAUGGCGUCGUCCAUGACUGACAAUGGGAUUCCAUGGUUAACUACCUGCAAAGUCAUUUAUCACAUGCAUGGUGUUAUUUUACGUUCAGGGUGAAUUUGUGAAAAGCCGUCAUAUUUCCCUUCCUGGUAGACAACCUAAGUAUGUCAAAAUCUAGGAAGUCUGUUUUAACUGAUCAGCUGAAAAUAAAAGGUAGAGAGAAGACAAAUGGAAGUGAAGCUUAGAACUCUAAUGCACCAUGUGUAUAACAUGAAGUUCUUUCUUAUUCUUGAUUUCCAUAUGCCUUUUCUAUACGUGGAUGAUCUCACGAUAUCUUUUUCCUUACUUGGUGCAUGCAUAUUCUUCUUAUUUGGAUCCCUAUCGCUAGGAACUUUAUGUAUGCUGAAGCAAGUAAAUAGGAUAAAAUUAUCUUAUUCUAGCGAGUGAACGAUUGCAGGUGACAUGGACACUUGACGACAAGUAGUACCUGGAAGAAACCAAGUUCCUUGCAAGCCAGGUGUACAUCGUAGAUUAGCUGAGGCCGAAGAAGAGGCUGUCGCAGAUAGGAUAGAUCCACGACUGGCAAGCAUGUGUUACACAGGGUUCCAUCGGGGCGUAGAGCUGGUGGAAGAACGUAACGCUUGGGAACAUAGGUUAGUCCCUCUUCAUCAAGUGUCAUGGCACUAGUGAAUGAACAAUUUGGUGAUGGUGAACUCUCUCUCAUUCUUCCCACCAUAUUAUGCUCUUUAUCAUGACUUUUAACUCCCUAUUUAUAAGCAGGAAAAUAUGAAGAUAUAUAUGAUUUUUUGGAGUUUUUAAUUAUUUAUCCACUUACAUAAAUGUAAUACGUAUAAUGUGAGGGUACCAUGACUAUAACCAAUGGAAAAAUAAUAGAAUAUAGUGAUACAUGCAUGAACCAAAGAGUGAAACAUUUUAGGCUUGGUAAAUUGGCGGUUACAAUAAAUUGAAUUCGAUGAGUAAGAGUGUUCAGAUUCAGGUGGGAGUGAACCCACGCGCCACGAGUGAGAAUGGUGCUCUAGUUCUACACGUGCGCGUACGUAGGCACUGGCGUUUGGAACAUUAAUUUCCUUAUUUCACUUCGAGUUUAAGUUUUGUAAUUGUACAAAAUGGUUUAUACUAUCGGAUAAUAAAAUAUAAUAAAAUAUUUUACACUAUUAGGCAGAGUAAAAAUAUUGACCUGCUAUUACAGGUUAUUCAAUCUUUUGCUUGCAACAACAACAAAUCCAGUGAAUUUCUACUAAAGUGAGGUCUAAGGAGGGUAAAAUGAUUCCAAUCUUUUACAUAAAAAAAAAAAAAGAAAAAAAAUUGAGCAACCUGCGUCCAACUACUACGUCAAGUUACUUGAUAGUGUAAAAUAUUUUAUACACUAAAAAAAACUUAAAUUCUUGCACUUAUCAGCGUCGAUGCGUUAUUCUUGCACUUAUCAGCGUCGAUGCGUUGUUUCCACAGAGCAAGUAGAGUGAAAAAAAAAAUUACUCUCCCUUCAACGAAAGUUGUCCAUAGCUUAUUACACUAUUAAGGAACAAUAAAUAAUAAGAAUUUUACUUUAUUAUGCUUUUAAUGUAUUAUAUUGAGGAUCUUUAAAAAAUAGCAGUAUUUUGCUAUAAAACUUACCUUUCAUAACCACAUUUUACAUAAUUAUCAUUUAUAGCUGCUGUAUUCGAUUUAUGUCCCAUGUAUUCAAUUUUACAGAUAGUAUGUAUUCAUAUAAAAUAUGAAUACAAUCCAUAUUUAGUCGCGCCAAAAAUGGAAUUCAAUAUUUUUAAAAAGAAAAAAAUCUCAAUCACGCUUAUCUCGUUGAACUGAAUAUUUCCUUGCCUAACACUACCAUUAUCUUUUUUCAUGUUUUUUAUCCUUUUUCAUAUUUUUUUUUAUCUUUUUUUGUAUUUUUUUUUAUCUUUUGUGUUUUUCCCCUUUCUUCUUCUUUUUUCUAUUUUUUUCUACUUUUAUUUUUUUCAUUUCUUUCUUUUUCUUUUUUCCUUUUUUUCUCUCUUUAAUCCCUAACUUCUAUUUCUCUUUCUUCUUUUCUUUUCUUCUUUGAUUUUUUUUUAUUUUCUUUUUUGUACUUAUUUUCUUUAUUAUUUUUUUGUUCUAUUUUAUAUUUUUUGUAUUUUCAAAAAAUAUAAGUAGUUAGCACAAGUCAUGGAUGAUAACGUAAAUACCACAAUUAUUUAUCGUAUUUGUAGUCACACCGUCAUUUAUAUUUUUGUAUUUAUUGAUGCAACUAUAUUUGUAUUUGUAUUUUAAAGUUUGCACUUAUAUUUAUAUUUUAUAGUUUGCAUUUGUAUUUGUAUUUGAUAGUUCGCACUUGUAUUUGUAUUUAUAUUUGUUAGUUUGCGCCAUUAUUUAUAUUUUAUAUAAUUCACAUUUGUAUUUUAAAGAACUAUUUUGUAUUUGUAUUUUAUAAUUGAUUGCAUAUUAUAUUGGAUUAUAUUUAUAUUAUGGUUUUAUUGUGUUUGNNNNNNNNNNNNNNNNNNNNNNNNNNNNNNNNNNNNNNNNNNNNNNNNNNNNNNNNNNNNNNNNNNNNNNNNNNNNNNNNNNNNNNNNNNNNNNNNUAAAUGUACCGUUUUAUAUUUGUAUAUCAAAAUUAUUAUUCAUAUUUGUAAAUAAACAACUAUCACUUGAUACAAAUACAAUGACAAACAAAUGAAAUAAAUAAUUUUACAAAUACAAAUAUAAUAUGUAUUUGUAUAUAUUGUAUUUGUAUAAAAAUUUGAGUUGUAUUUAUUUGUAUCAAUAAAUACAACUCGUAUCAAUAAAUACAAACAAAUAUUCGUGGAAAGAAAAUCAAUCGUUUCUCUUCAAUAAUUAAAAAAUACAAAUGAUAGUUAACGCUUGUAUUUAUAUGUUAUAGAUUGCAUUUGUAUUUGUAUUUUAUAGUUCACACUUGUAUUUAUAUGUUAUAGUUUGCAUUUGUAUUUGUAUUUUAUAGUUUGCACUUGUAUUUGUAUGUUAUGGUUCGCAUUUGUAUUUGUAUUUUAGAGUUCGCACUUGUAUUUGUGUUUGCUAGUUUGCACAAAUGAAAAGAAGAAGAAAAAUUGAAAAGGAAAAAAAAGGAGGAAAACAUACAAAAAAGAAGAAGAGAGUAAUAGAAAAUAAGAAAAAAAUUUUAAAAAGAGAAAAAAUAAAAAGAAAAAAAAUAAAGGAGAAAAAAUACAAAACAAGAAGAAGAAAAAAAAGAGGAGAAAAAUGAAAAGAAAAAAAGAAAAAAAAUAAUAAAAAAGAAAAAAGAAAAAAAAAGUGAAAAAAUAAAAAAUAAAAAGAAUGCAACAAAAAAGGAAAAGAAAAACUGAAGAAAAAAAAAUUGAAAAAGGAAAAAAAAAGAGAAUAGUAUAAAAUAGAAAAAAGAGAAAAUACAUGGGAAAAGUUAUGAAUUGUAAUUAAGGAUAAUUAAUAGGCAAGAGGGGACUAUGAAUUAUAAUUAAUUAAAAAUUAGACUUUAAGUGGUAAUAAAAGCUCAAUAGUGGCUAAUCCAAGUAAUUUUCUCUAUUAUAUUUAAUAUUUAAAAAAUAUAUUGCAUCAUGAGCAACAUUUAAUACUAAGGAUAAAAUAAAUACAAUAAAUAAAUUAUUCAUUAAUUUUUUAAAUUGAUGAUAUAUUUUCUAAUAUAAUGGACAAACAAGGAGUAUCGGGAGUACUAAGCCAGGCAAUUUCUAGGAGUCAUUUGGAAAGCCCCGUGGGAUUUGAAUUUAAAUGUUUAAAACGGUCGUUUGGUUGGAAAAUAGUUAUCUCGAAAUAGUUAAUUUCGAGAUUAGUUAUCCCAAAAUUACUCGGGAUAACUUAUCCCACCAUGUAUAUGGGAUAAUUUAUCUCAUCACUGCAGUGUAAAUGGUGGGAUAAGUUAUCCCGGUAUUAACUAAUACAUUUAACCAAAUAUGAGAUAAAAUAAUCCUUUAUUUUAUUUCGAGACUAUUUGUUCCUUAUAUCUCACACCAAACGAUCCCUAAGUAGAUAUAAUUAUACCGUUUGAUCUGGUUAUUGAUCAAAUAAUUAUUAAUCGUUUAGUAAGGAAUUAGGUAUAACUGGUCGUAAUUACAAUUUUCAAUUUUCAAUUUUCAAGAGGGGGUGGGAAUUACAUCGUGUCAUUAUAAAGUUAUUUUUAAACUACUUCUUUUUGUUUUUAUUUUCUUUUUAAUUUAUUUCUAUUAUUUUAAUUUUUUAUUUUUCAUUUUAAAUAUUUUUUAUCUUACCUUAUUUAUUUUUCAUUUCUUUUCUUCUCAUUUUCCAACUUUUACAUCUUGAGAUUCCAGUAAUUGCUUGUAUUUUUUAUUUUUAUUUAUUUUUUCAUUUAGCAUAUUUGAGUUAGUAUUCUAAUUUUUGAAUUAAAGUGAACUCUAUGCCAUUAAUUAUUAUUUUUUCAAACAUGCAUUUCAUGAUUUUCUUAAAGACCAUAUAUUUUUAGUUUUAAUAAUUAAUUAAAUAAAACUUAUUAUUAACUUCAAAUAUAUAUAUAUAUUAUUUUUAUAAUAUUAGUUAAAAAUAUGAAAUUAUUAAUUAGUAUACUUUCAAGAGACAAUAUGUGUCUUAAAUACGCGAUUUAAUAUCAAUUUUGAUAAUUAUUUUUUGUUGUGUAAUCACACCUGUGCAGUCAAUAUGUACUUAUAACUACACUGUAAUUUUAUUAUGACAAAUAAAUAGGUUAUCAUAAUACUUUAUUGUAUAAUUAAUCAAGUGACUUGAGAAAAUUGAAGGAAAGAUGUCUUUUAAGUUUUGAAUGAAGGAUUGGUGACAUUGAUCAAUAGAUAGGGUCAAAUAUCAUUAGGAAACUUGAUUAAAUUAAUUGUGGACUUGAUUAAUAUUUUCAAAAUUUUCUAAUCUUUUAAAAAAUACAAAUCAACCCAACCCACAUUCCUCUUCAAUCAAAAUCAACCACNNNNNNNNNNNNNNNNNNNNNNNNNNNNNNNNNNNNNNNNNNNNNNNNNNNNAAAAAUUCUCCGUUCAACCUCCGACGACAAAUAGUCGGACGAGUUCCUUUUCGACUUUCAACUGUCAAUCGAUGUGAAGACUUCUCCGGCAACAACAACUUCGAGUUUUUCGUCGUCCUAUUUCCCGUUUCACAGGUAAAAAAUUAUGAAGAAAUAGAGGAACUUGAGCCAAGUACUCUUCUAGUAUUGAAAUAUGGACUGAAUAAAACCCUAAUUUCUGGCAUUUCUUCUUCUUAUUGUCGUACUGUUGAUUCGAAUUUGUCGGUGAUUUUUGAUCACAGUUGAUGUUCUUAGUGUGUGUGUGUGUGUGAUGUGUUGGUGUUGUUAAAAUUGAUUUGUUGUUUGUCUUGGUAAAAAUGGUAUUGCAACAGAUAAAACAUUUGAUGUAACAGAUGAAACAUAUGAUGCAACAGAUGAAAAUCUGAUGCAGCAUAUGAAAAUCUGAUGCAACAGAUAAAAAUCUGAUGCAACAGGUGAACAAUCUAACAGAUCAUUCAUCUGUUGCGAUAGAUGACUCUUCUGUUUGGAAGAAAUCUAAACAAUAUUGGCACAACAGAUAACUGAUUAGUAAUCUGUUUUUAUUCUUUCCAACGGUUUACUCUUCAUUUUGCAACAGGUUAGGACUGUUUUAUUCUUUCCAACGAUUUACUCAUCCGUUGUAACAGGUCGGUUAUAUGUUGCAACAAAUAACAUACCUGGUGCAACAGAUUAGUGAUUCGUUUUUAUUCUUUCCAACGGUUUACUCAUCCGUUGCAACAGGUCUUAUAUGUUGCAACAGAUAAAAUACCUGGUGCAACAGAUUAGUGAUCUAUUUUUAUGGUUUCCAACGGAUUACUCAUCCGUUACAACGGGUCAGUUAUAUGUUGCAUCAGAUAAAAUACCAGGUGCAAUAAAUUAGUGCUGUUUUUAUGGUUCCCACGGAUUACUCAUCCGUUGCAAUAGGUCGGUUAUAUGUUGCAACAGGUAACACACCUGGCGCAACAGAUUAGUUGUCUGUUGGAACUAUUACAUUACUGUUAUGCAUUAAUCAAUUAUAAUCUAUGUUAUGUUCCUAUUAAUUUAAGAUAACAUGGCCCCCAAAAGAAAAGAAAUCGAAUCAAGUCCAAGUGAAGGAACAAGUGCAGCAGCUCAGCUACAUCCAACACUCUAUGAGCUUGCUUUACAAGCGUUAUCUCAAUCUGGAGCAGAAGAUGAUGAACACGGGGAGGAGGAAUCUUUCAAAAGAGAUGAUCCGCAUGCUAAUAGCCCUUCCGUCGAAGAGUUGGUCAAAACCUUCAGCAUUGAUCGUUAUCCUGUGAGAAUGCAGAGCGAUGGUGCCACAGAUUUAUCGGGUGAUCUCGUGGUUAAGUCAGUCAUGGGAAAAUCUUUCGAUGCCUUCAGAAAAAUACUUUGAGAAUAAAAAUUGGAUUCUUAUUUCAGGGAAAGCUGCUUUGGGCAAUAUCUUGAUUUGCCGGAGGACAACAAUGCUCGUUUUCAGAUGAAAAUGGUAUAUGAUCUUCUCAAGCCCAGGUUUAUGUAUGAACACAAAGAUAAGAUGGAUGAGGUGUGGAUAAAUUACUGUGACAUGCCUGUUUGUUUUGGUUGAAAGGAGUUUGCCAUAGUUACCGGACUAAAAUGUUAUCCUCCUUCUCCUUCUCAAGUUAUACCUACUUUGACUCAAAAAAAAAGCACCCCGCCCACCCAACAAAGGAAAAGACAAGUCGAGUGAUCAUGAUGACCUGGUGUCCAUUCUUGGUCCAAGCUUCAAAAACAAAAAUCUGGUAGAAGUGUUGAAAGGUAAAAGGCUUUCAAAAAAGCACAAACAAUCAUUGUGCUUGGUUUGGUUUGUACAUAAUAGUCUUUGGGCGAGAGACGUUAACAACAACAUAAGCCUCGAUUUAAUAAAUCUCUCCGAGGAUCUUGAGGUAGUUAACAACUAUCCUUGGGGUUAUGAAAGUUUCAAAAUGGCUGUCGAAUAGUUGUUGACUCCGUUAACACCAAAAACAGUCAACUUAUAUGGCUUUCCAUGGGCCUUCAUGGUAAAUAUUUCUUUUAUCAUGAUAUGAUUUAUCAUUUUUUUAUUCAAUAAUGCUUUUAAUUUAUUGGCGUUAUGUUAUCGGCUUGGGCAUUUGAAGCCAUUCCUUAUUUGAAACAACAAGUGAACUACCAGGAAGAAGUUUCUUGUCCAAGAAUUCUGAUAUGGUUGUAGGCCAAAACCGAUAAAAACGCAAAAUUUCUUGAUCUUUUCAAUCCCCCUGUCACACGCCUUUUUACGCUCGAGGGUUCGAGUUGAAGGAUUUUUCCAAUUAAAGUGACAGUUUUGAAUAAGAAUUAGUUUAUUAACAGAGUUGCCACUUGGAUUGAGUUAUGGUGUUCCAAGUCACCUUAUUGAAUUCCUAAUCAAAAUGAAAUGACUCUUUAUUUUGGUCUGCAAAAACAGAAGACCGGGUAAAGAAUUCUAUUGAUCGAGGGGAAGGCGUGAGGCACCCCUCGAGUCCUGUGGUUCUAGUACGGUCGCUUUUAUUGACUUAUCUUAACGUAAACUAUUUAAUAAAUUAUGUUAAGGCCUAAAAUCACUCAUUUUUAUUAUACCUAAAUCGUCUAUAUUUUAUAUUUAAUUAAAUCGGUGAAAGUUAGUUUUUUUGAAAAAUAUUUAUCAAGGUGCAUUAUUGCACCCUUAAAUUUUAAAAUAUCUCAGAAAGAUGUAUACGCCGCAUUUUUAAUUGAGACGAAUAUUUUAAACGCAUUUAAAAUUUACCUAAAUUCCUAAUAACAAACUAAAGUAAAAUUCAUUUAAUGCAAUUAAUUAAAUCAAUAAAUAAUUAUUAAGUUCUAUUAAUAAAAAUAAUAAAAUAAAUAAAAAUAUAAAUCUACUAUAUUGCGUUAAAUUUAAUAUUAUCCCCAAAAUUUAAUUUAUUCAAAAUUCAUACAAAAUCAAAUCAUAUUUUAUAAGAUAAAUUAACACACAAAAAAAAAUCCCAAUAAUCUAAUUUAAACAUAAAUUUAUGAAAGAAAAAUUGAGCAACCCUAAAAUAAAGAUAUAUAAAAUCCAAACAAGAUAUAAUUAUUUUUAAAAUAUUGGAGAUUAAAUUAAUAUCAUAUUUUAAUUAUAAGUUGAUAAGUGAUGGAAUAUUGCUAGAUAAGGAGAUUAAUAUAAUUUCUCAUAAAGUAAUAAUAAUAAAAAAUAACAAAAAAAAUUCGAAAGAUAUUUAGCAUUAACAUUUUUAAAUAGUCUGCAUAAAAAAAAGAAAUAGAUAGCGUAUUUUUAAAACAAACGGAGAUAGUCACUGGCCGGAGUUGUCAACGGCAUCUAUGCUUGCCUCUCCGAUUGAAGAUGACGGCAUGGCUAAUUUGCCUGUAUGGUUGGUUGCAGUUUGCCAAAAGGAGAGGAAGGAGCGCUGGCGGGUAAGGGAAGGCGCUGUUGCGCCACAUUCCGGAGACGGAGGGAGAGAAAGGGGUCGGCGGCAUAGGUGAGGGGAGGGGGGAUAGCGCCGACAGCAGAUCUGGGAAGGGAUGUGGAGGCGGCGCCGGUGCUGGGAUGGCUAGUAUCGCCAGAAAAGGGGGAGGGGAAAGGCGCCGACAAUGGCUAUCUCGCCAUGUCGUGGAGGUUUCGGUUACAUCUGGCGCGCCAUUCAUUGGUGUCGCCGGCGGAUUGAUACUGUUCCAGUAGUGUGGGGGUUGUUUUCGACAAGAAAUUUGGCUGGAGAGGACCAAUGUUGAUUGUUUUCCAACGAUGAAUAAACUUUUUUCCGGCAAAAUUUCGCUGAAAAAUUAAUAUAAGAGUCUAUUAUUUUUUCAUCUUCUUCCUUCAAUUUUCUCACUUUUUUUUCGGUCUCUUACUGAUUUCUCCUUGUCUUUGUGUGAAUGCGUGUGUUGUGCUAUUGUGUAUAUUAUUCCGAUCAACUAUAUUCAAUAUACUCUUGUUAGUGAUGUCGACGGAGUGGCCAGUGAUAUUUUGUGUAUUGUUAGCUGUGAGUGAAAUUAUAACAGUGUUCAUGUAACUGUAACAGUACCCCUUUUCUUAAAUCAGACACUAUCAUAUGCAAUAUUUUUAUAUCUAACACAGUAUAUAAAUAUUCAGUGAUUUGAUAUCAUAAUAUAUAAUAAUAGAAAAUUUACAUAAUCAAUCAAAUGCACAUAUCAAAUAAUGCAUAAGAUCACUUGAACAUUUUCAUUCAUGCUAGUUCAUAAUAAAGUUUACAGGAUAAAUGAUACAUGAUCAAAUAGAACCUGUGAUGAAGCAAAAAAUCGACAUCAAAACUCGAACAGAAACCCGAAACUCUAUUUGCUACUCUUUCUCUUCUUUCUUUUUUGUGUUUGAUUUUGAGUGUUGUUUUCUUCUCAUUUGAUUUUGAGUGUUGUUUUCUUCUCACUUUUUGUCCGAUUUCUCUCUGUAUUUUUUAGUGUGGUCUUUCUCUCUCCGUAUUUUUUAUCUCUGUCUGAUUUGUCUGAUAUAGUGUAUGAGGAUGUGAAAAAGUACGUCCGUUUCCUGGGGUUGGGGAGUCCUUAAAUAGAAGGAUUUUGGGGGGAGUAGUGUAGGUAGUUUAGGAUUUAAAUUUUGAAUUUUUUUUUAUAUAUAUAGGAUAAUGAUCUCAUUUUUUAAUAAAUAAAUAAAUUAUAUAAAAAUUAAAUAAUAAAAUAAUAAUAAUAAUAAAUAUUAAAUAAUUAAUUUUUAUACUUAAGAAAAAUAGAAUAAAAAUAUAACUAAUUUAAAAUAAAAAUAUAAUUAAGAGAAAAUAAAAUUACUAGAUUAUUUAUAAAAAUCUAAAUUAAAAGAAAAUAUUUUUUGAAAAUUUUUUUGUAUUAUUUUAAAAAAAAAAAUCUUAAAAUGUAACUUUAUUUUUUGAUUUUUUUAAAAUGAAAUCUAUUAAAAAAAUAAAUUAAAUAAGAACUAAAGAUAAUAUUUUGACAUAAAUAAAUAUUUAAUGUCAAUAAAUAAAUAAAUCAAAACUCGGGAGUGUCAAAAAUCACGUGUCUACAUUUUUGCCCCUCUUUUUGUUGAAUCUCGAAGAGUUUUCAUACAAAGAAGUAGACAAGAUAUGAUUUUUGACCCUCCAAUUAUUUGAAAGUUAAGGAUAAAAAUAAAAAUUAAAGGAAAAAUGUAACCGAGUUCUAAUUUUGGACCUCCUACAUAUCCCGGGUUUAAGAGAAUCAGGUCACAUGUAGUUCAAAGAUAACAUGGUAAGAGAAUGAGUUAGACAUCGAGUGAGAUUUCGUUCGAGUUUCCGAUUUUCGACUUUCUGCUUUUACAUUGAAAUGAAUAACAAAAAAUAAAAUAAAGAUACAAAUGAAAGAUCCUAUCUAUGCUGCUUUUCUGGAAUCUUGACUUGAAUCUUUACGACUUCUCAAAUGGUGAGAUAGUCGUUAUUUUGAGUUGAACUUGAAACACGAAAUGUUCCUUCUCGUUGGCUUUUGGCGUUAGAGAGGAACUUGAUAAUUCAUUUAUUCUUUGAACUUUCCUCUGACUUGAAUUUGACAAUCUUUACCCUAUUUUUCAGGCGGACUCCUGAACUUGCAAUUGAUAAUGUUCACCCUAUUCUUCAGGCAGGCUCCUGGACUUACAAUUUCUUCACCUUGUUCUUCAGGCGGGCUCCUGGACUUUCUCUUUCUUCACCCUGUUCUUCAGGCGGACUCAUGGACUUACAAUUUCUUUACCCUGUUCUUCAGGCGGGCUCCUGAACUUACAAUUUCUUCACCCUAUUCUUCAGGCGGGCUCCUGAACUUUUUUUUUCUUCACUAUGUUCUUCAGGCGGUCUUCUGGACUUACAAUUUCUUCACCCCAUUCUUCAGGCGGGCUCCUGGACUUCCUUUUUUUAUUCACCCUGUUUUUCAGGCGGGCUCCUGGACUUACAAUUUCUUCACCCUAUUCUCCUGGCGGGCUCCUGGACUUCCUUUUUUUCUUCACCCUAUUUUUCAGGCGGGCUCCUGGACUUACAAUUUCUUCAUCCUAUUCUUCAGGCGGGUUCCUGGACUUCUUUUUUUCUUUACUCUGUUCUUUAGGCGGGAUCCUGAACUUACAAUUUCUUCACCUAUUUCUUCAGGCGGGCUCCUGGACUUUCUUUUUUUUCUUCACCUUGUUUUUCAGGCGGGUUCCUGAACUUCUUUUUUUUGUCUUCACCCUGUUUUUUAGGCGGCUCCUGGACUUACAAUUUCUUCACCCUAUUCUUCAGGCGGGCUCUUGGACUUACAAUUUCUUCACCCUGUUCUUCAGGCGGGCUCCUGGACUUCUUUUUCUUCACCCUGUUCUUUAGGCGGACUCUUGACUUGUUUUUUUUUCACCCUAUUCUUCAGGCGGGCUCCUGGACUUCUUUUUUCUUCACCCUAUUCUUCAAGCAGGCUCCUGGACUUCUUUUUUUCACUCUGUUUUCAGGCGGGCUCUUGGACUUUCUUUUUUCUUCACCUUGUUCUUUAGGUGGCCUCCUGGACUUACAAUUUCUUCACCCUAUUCUUCAGGCGGGCUCCUGGACUUUUUUUUUGAUUUUUCAAAUAUGUUCUUGAACUCAAAAUAAAAGGUGAAACAGAAAAAUAACAUCCUAUUCUUCAGGAGGGUCCUGUGCACAAAGUAAAUUCUCAUUUUUCAGGAGGGUCCUGUUCAAAAGUAAAUUCCCAUUCUUCAGGAGGGUCUUGUUCAAAAGUAAAUUUCUAUUCUUCAGGAGGGUCCUGUUUAAAAAGUAAAUUUCCAUUCUUCAGGAGGGUCCUGUUCAAAAGUAUAUUCCCAUUCUUUAGGAGGGUCCUGUUCAAAAGUAAAUUCUCAUUUUUCAGGAGUGUUUUUGUUCAAAAAGUAAAUUCCUAUACAACACACAUAAAAUUUUGCCCCAGUUUGUACUGAGAAAAUUUGUAUGUCAUCAGAUCAUAACUGAGAUCCAGCAUCGUAUGCUGUAAUCAUGAUUUUUGCAUUGACAGAAGUGUGAAAUUGUAUCCUUUAUUUGAAAACUUUUUAUCCCUGUUUCAAACAAAACAAAGAAAAAUUGUGAGUUUUGAAAACACAUGGUGGUUGGUUUGUGGUAUUUGGCUCUUGAAUUGACGUUGUUGCACUUGCCAUGCUCAAAUCCUUUUCUAAUCCUUGAUAGAUAUCCAUUGACUUGUCACACUUCUGACCCAAAAUUCUGACUACUGAUAUUCUCAACUCAAAACACAUUUCUCUUGUAUAAUAUCUCAGAAUUUAACAUUUCAUACACCCUUUAUCUUUCAACGAGUCAAAAACUGUCAAAUCAUAAUCAUUCUGAAUACUUUAUUAUACUUUGAAAUGUUGUCCUUGUACGUCGACCCUUUGUCUUGCUUUUUAUCAUUGAAGAAGUUGAUAGCAAGUUUGGAGUCCUUUCUCACUAGACCUGACGUGAAUCUGACUCAAAAGCACAUACAAGACAAUAAAAUUUUCAUUUGAUGACAAGGACACAAAAAUAAAAAAUUAAAAUAAAACAAAAAGAAAAAAGACAAUAAUCAUCUCUUUUUCAAAAAAAAAAAAAAACUUAUCUGAAUGUGAAAACCGAUUCUGGUGAUUAUGACAUGCAUUUUGAAUCAAACAACCAGAUCUAUCCACACCAAUCAUUAUAAUUUUUGUCCAUUUAUUGAGCUUGAAAUUUAGCCAAUCUUGAGCUUGUUCGUUCUGGAUAAAUACUCUUCUUCGGCUAGUGGCACCUAAAUGGGUUUUUGCCAACAAGCCUAUCUCAUUUUCACUUUUUUCUCAGCUUACAGUCGCCUUAUGGUGCCCAAUAGGGUUUUCACCAAUGAAACUCUCUCUUUUUCAUUCAUUUUUUAAAAUAAACACCCAAAAUAUGAAAUAUCAUGCACCCAUAAAUUGUUAAGCCUUGACAUUCUCAAAGAUUGAUCUGAAGGUAUUUCUUUGGUUGUAACUUAGAUUUUGGAUAGGGUUAGAAGGAAAUGGCGGCAUGAGGCUCAAAAAUUACAUAACAUUGGGUGAAGCAUACAACUUUUGAAAUCGACUCUAUUAAGAAAAUAAACUUUUGCCCCAGUUUUAUUUCAUUCUGAGUAACUUGAAUUUUAUUUUGGUUGGAUCGAACCCCGGAGUAAGGCUGCUUACGUAUCUUGUCAUAGCAAGAAUCAGGUCAAACGUAAUUCAUGAUCGUCAUUCUUUUGCUUUUUGCUCUUUUUUUUUUCUUUUUUGAAUCGAACUUUGGCUCACUUGUUUUUCUUUUCUUUGAUUCUUCUUUUUUUGGGACUUUUCCAAUUUCAAUUUUUUGACACUUUUUUUUUGACUUCAUUUUUCUUGACACUUUUUUUUUUAUAUUUUUUUUUUCAAAUUCUAGUUUUAUUCCAAAAGAGGGGUACAAAAGAAAAUAACACUAAAGCUCAAAAGGGGUAACAAAGGACGACACAACAUUUGGGUAGCAGAAUGAAAUGCCUUCGUCAUAUCAAUCCUUAAAAACGGAAGAACAUAACAUGCAAUUUGAGGGUGAAACAUGAGAUCAUACAUAUCUUUUCAACAUUGACUUUGACUAAGAACGUGCACAUGUGUCACUUCUGUCAUGCUUAUGAAACAUACAAGUCCACUUGUGUUGUACUUUCUCCACACGAAUGACUCAUGUCUCUUUGGGAGCUAACUUUCUUUCAUUUUUCCUGACAAUGGAGAUUAUAUAUCCUCUGAUUGAUCCCAUUCAAAAUGCUUGAAUUAGAUUUUCUAAUUGAUGAUCAAGUCAUUUUUGAUUUGCAAAACGAUUGCUCCAAUUUCAUCUAUAUUGCAAUUUGACUUAUUCUCAAACUGUUUGAAAUCUUUUGCUUAUAUUCUCAAAUACUUCCUCUUCAUCGUAUUCAACCUCUUUAUUCAUUAUUUCAUAAUUAGAUUGGAUUUUAAAAUUUGAUUGAUAAUUUUUCAUGCAUGUCAUAUCGUUAUAAUCGGCAUAGAAAGAACUGAAUAAUAGAAAAUAUAUAAGUAAAUAUUAGACACAAAAUAAAAUAAAGGGAAAUUAUGUUUCAUUAAAAAAUAAAGAUAGACAAAGCUUUAACCUAAAAUAACAAGGUAAAAAUCUGAAUUACAACCCUAGAACGAUUCAAAUUGCAGAAAGACAAAUAAACAAACUACCAAGACUCCUUCAUAGUAGAGAGAAGAGUGACCUCCCAAUUGUUAAGUUUGACAUCUUAGCGACUGGUUUGCUUAUCAGCAUGACUAGAACUUCCACCACUAUCCAACACAUUUUCUUCAACAAAUAAAUUCUGGAUCCCCAUGCUUAGCUCAUUGUUUCCCACGUAUUGUGCAUUAUCGUGUGUUGAUGAAGGAUUCCGUAUGACGCUCCUAGUGUCAAUGCUUUGCACUACAAUCAAUUUUUCUUAAAUCAACCUUUCUAUUUCUCUUUUUAAUGCAUGACAAUCCUCAAUACUGUGACCUUGAAUAUCAGAAUGAUAUGCACAUCGUACAUGAGGAUCAAAAUUUCUUGAAUGUGGAUCAGGAGUACACUCAAGGAGAGGAGUGAUUAUGUCCAACUUUAUCAAUAUCUGGAAUAAACUAGCAUACGAUUCCUCAAUUUGUGUAAAAUUAUUCUUUGAAUUUCUCCUCUUUGCAAACUCCGGCCUCGAUUGAAACUUAGACUUAGAAGUUCUUUGAUAAAUAUGUGGGGGUCCAGGACGAUGUUGAGGAACCGGUGCAUGCCAUUGCAGAUAAGAAAAUGGAUGAUCAUACAACUGUGCAUUGUUUAAAGGAUAUUAAGGAAGUGGAAUGAAAUAUCUUGGAUUUUACAAACAGGAACCUUGUUGCAUGUGAGCAUAUGAAUUUGAUGUGCAAGCUCGGGAUUGAGACUGGCAAUAUUGUUGAGUUGGACCUCUUGAGCUCUUCUUUUCCCCUGUAACGACAAUAGGUACAUUUUCCUUUUUCUUCCUUUCUGUCCCUCUUAAUUGAUGGCAAUAUCGUCCCAAGUGUUUUACGAAAUCCUCGUACCCAUCAUGUUUCUCAAAUUUCGAUAUCUUAAGGCUUGGAGGAAGGUUAACACUUGAAGACAUUUCCCCGUCUUUAUAUGCAAUAUCUUCAUAAUUCGUAAUUCCCUGAGAAUUUUUCGUAGCCUUUUCUGUACUCUUAAUUUUCCUAGCCAUUUUCUCUUGCUCUUCUGUCAUGUCAGACUUCUUAGUAAGAAAUUUUGGUGGUCCAACUAACAUAGAUGUGGGCUCAGGAGUAUAAUAGUGAUCAUCAAGAGUGUUGAACAUCGACUUACUAGCAGAAUGGGGAGGUCCAAUCGCCGGAUCAAAAGCUAAGAUGGAAUCCUCAGUAGAGGGUGGAGCAACAGAAGCAGAGACUAUAGGUGGUGCUAUCGAUGUGCUAGAUUUAUACUGAAGAUCUAAAAAAUGAGUGAUUGAAACAUUGAGAUUAUUUUGGCUUGGAAUAGAUUCUGGGGCAUGUUGUGGUGCAUAACCAAUAGCAGAAAACUGACCUUACAAUUUUGGUGAAAAACUCAAGGUAUUUGUAAGGUCAAUAGUGGAUAAUGGCGGAGGAGGCAUCCCACUGGCCCAAGCUCGAUACAUUUCCAACAUUUGUUGCCUCAAACGCACAAUCUCUUGUUUUAACCUCUCAUUUUCCCGACUCUUUGUCUGAUCCAUGAUUUCACUUUCUAUAUUCUUGCUGGACAUGACUCUUUUUCUUGAAUUUGGUGUAAUAUGAGGGACCAACACAAAUACCACAAACCAACCACCUUAAACUAACUGUAUAAGAAAUAACAAAGGUGUUAGAAUGCAAUAUUUUUCAAAAACUCUUUUUUUUGUCUUCUUUUUUGAAGAGAUCACCGAACCCUAGAAGGGAUGUCUACAUAUCUCACUAAGAUGAGAAUCAGGUGUGCAUAGUUCUCAAAAAUUGGAGAUACGAAGAAAUAUACCUUUUUUUUCUUUUUUUUUAAUAAUGAGAAAUUUAUUUACUUAUUAAAUAUUUUUUUUAUUUUUGAAAACAUUUUUUUUUUCAGUGUAAAAAGAAAGACAAUCAUUUUUUAAAACAUCACCGAAUCUAUUAAGGACUGCCUACAUAUCUCAAUAAAAUGAGAAUCAGGUGUGCGUAGUUCCUAAAAAUUAUGUCGUACAAAAAUCAGCUUCAAAACCCUUAGAGGUUUAGGGUUGUUAAUAUUUAUAUAAAAAGAAUUUUUUUAAAAACUUAGCCUCAUGAUCCCUAAAGAUUCAGGGCUGUUAAGAUUUAUUUAUUUUUAUUUAUUUUGUAAAAACUUAGCCUCAUGAUCCCUAAAGAUUCCGGGCUAUUGAAAUAUAUAUUUUUAUUUUUGUAAAAACUUAGCCUCAUGAUCCUUAAAAAUUCAUGUCUAUUAAGAUAUAUAUAAAAAUUGGACCAGAGAAUUAGAAAAAUAAUUAUGAAAGUAAUCAUAUUUUCAAAAUAUUAACCAAUAAAUCUAUGAAUAAUUUUUCAAAAGAUAGGGUCGUAUCCCGAGAAGGACUUCCUACGUAUCCCACUAAGAUGUGAGAAUCAGACCCUCUUAUUUUAUGAGGACCGUAAAACUAUGUUACUAAAAUUUUUCCUUUCUUUUUAAAAACAAAACUUUUCUUUGAAAAAAAAUAAUUCACAAAAUGUGCAGAUAAAUUAAUCUCUUGCAUUUUAAAGUUGCCUAAAAUCGGUCAACAAACAAAUAGCCUUCCAAACAAAUGUCAAAGAGCACGUAGGAUGCACAUGUUGGUCUUUAUAAAGUAGGUCAACUGUCCUAGAUAGACCCGGACCCUGUGCCGCGUCCCGCUAAGUCAAAUGCAUAUGAUGCAAAUAAAGCGGCACCUAAUAGGGAUAACCAGAUUCUGUGUUUUUAGUUCUUCUAAGUUUAAUCCUAAUAGGGGUAGGUGUCUACACUGGCUUACCCGAACGGACACUCAAGCUGGGGAGGAACAACUUGAUCGGUAGCAGGGAAAUACCUCCUUCGUUGCCGAUCCAAACCCCGCCUAACAUGUGUGACUAUAAUCCUUCACUAGGUGCCUUGACACUCCGGCUAUCUUAAAAAAAAAGUAGGAUGCAUGCGCUGCAUUCCUUCUAUCCUAUUUCAGAGACUCAGAGGGGGUGCGCAAGAGAAGACAGUAUAUAGUACAGUUUAAUCAAUAUCAAAGCGGUAAAUAAGGGACAAGUAGCACAUAAGGCCAACUCACACAAUAUCAACAAUAAUUAAAGCAAGUAUAAGUCAAUAUAAAAAGGUCGAAUUCUUAUUAUUCCCCAGCAGAGUCGCCAGAGAUGUCACACCCCUUUUUACGCUCGAGGGUUCGAGUUGAAGGAUUUUUCCAAUUAAAGUGACAGUUUUGAAUAAGGAUUAGUUUAUUAACAGAGUCGCCACUUGGAUUGAGUUGUGGUAUUCCAAGUCACCUUAUUGAAUCCCUAAUCAAAAGGAAAUGACUCUUUAUUUUGGUCUGCGAAAAUAGAAGAUCGGGUAAGAAAUUCUAUUGAUCGAGGGGAAGGCGUGAGGCACCCCUCGAGUCCCGUGGUUCUAGCACGGUCGCUUUUAUUGACUUAUCUUAACUUAAACUAUUUAAUAAAUUAUGUUAAGGCCUAAAAUCGCUUAUUUUUAUCAUACCUAAAUCGUCUAUAUUUUAUAUUUAAUUAAAUCGGUGAAAGUUAAUUUUUUUGAAAAAUAUUUAUCAAGGUGCAUUAUUGCACCCUUAAGUUUUAAAAUGUCUCGGAAAGGUGCGUAUGCCGCAUUCUUAAUUGAGACGAAUAUUUUAAACGCAUUUAAAAUUUACCUAAAUUCCUAAUAACAAACUAAAGCAAAAUUCAUUUAAUGCAAUUAAUUAAAUCAAUAAAUAAUUAUUAAGUUCUAUUAAUAAAAAUAAUAAAAUAAAUAAAAAUAUAAAUCUACUAUAUUGCGUUAAAUUUAAUAUUAUCCCCAAAAUUUAAUUUAUUCAAAAUUCAUUCAAAAUCAAAUCAUAUUUUAUAAGAAAAAUUAACACAAAAAAAAUUCCAAUAAUCUUAUUUAAACAUAAAUUUAUGAAAAAAAACAUUGAGCAACCCUAAAAUAAAGAUAUAUAAAAUCCAAAUGAGAUAUAAUUAUUUUUAAAAUAUUGGAGAUUAAAUUAAUAUCAUAUUUUAAUUGUAAGUUUAUAAGUGAUGGAAUAUUGCUAAAGAAGGGGAUUAAUACAAUUUCUCAUAAAGUAAUAAUAAAAAAAUAACAAAAAAAAAUUUCAAAGAUAUUUAGCAUUAACAUUUUUAAAUAGUCUGCAUAAAAAAAAAGAAACAGAUAGCGUAUUUUUAAAACAAACGGAGAUAGUCACUGGCCGGAGUUUUCAACGAAAUCUAUGCUCGCCUCUCCGAUUGAAGAUGACAGCAUGGCUACUUUGCCGGUAUGGUUGGCUGCAGUUUGCCGAAGGGAGAGAAAGGAGCGCUGGCGGGUAAGGGGAAGGCGCUGUUGCGCCACAUUCCGGAGACGGAGGGAGAGAAAGGGGUCGACGACGUAGGUGAGGGGAGGGGGGAUAGCGCCGACAGCAGAUCUGGGAAGGGAUGUGGAGGCGACGCCGGUGCUGGGCUGGCUAGUAUCGCCAGAAAAGGGGGAGGGGAAAGGCGACGGUAAUGGCUGUCUCACCGUGUGGUGGAGGUUUCGGUCACAUCUGGCGCCCCAUUGAUUGGUCACAUCUGGCGCGCCGUUGAGGCAGUUAACAACUAUCCUUGGGGUUAUGAAAGUUUCAAAAUGACUGUCGAAUAUCUAUUGACUCCGUUAACGCCAAAAACAGUCAACUUAUAUGGCUUUCCAUGGGCCUUCAUGAUAAAUAUUUCUUUUAUCAUGAUAUGAUUCAUCAUUUUUUUAUUCAAUAAUGCUUUUAAUUUAUUGGCGUUAUAUUAUAGGCUUGGGCAUUUGAAGCCAUUCCUUAUUUGAGACAACAAGUGAACUACUAGGAAGAAGUUUCUUGUCCAAAAAUUCUAAGAUGGUUGUAGGCCAAAACCAAUAAAAAUGUAAAAUUUCUUGAUCUUUUCAAUCCCCCUGUCACACCCCUUUUUACGCUCGAGGGUUCGAGUUGAAGGGUUUUUCUAAUUAAAGUGACAGUUUUGAAUAGGAACUAGUUUAUUAACAGAGUCGCCACUUGGAUUGAGUUAUGGUGUUCCAAGUCACCUUAUCGAAUCCCUAAUCAAAAGAAAAUGACUCUUUAUUUUGGUCUGCGAAAACAGAAGACCGGGUAAGGAAUUCUAUUGACCGAGGGGAAGGCGUGAGGCACCCCUCGAGUCCCGUGGUUCUAGUACGGUCGCUUUUAUUGACUUAUCUUAACGUAAACUAUUUAAUAAAUUAUGUUAAGGCCUAAAAUCACUCAUUUUUAUUAUACCUAAAUCGUCUAUAUUUUAUAUUUAAUUAAAUCGGUGAAAGUUAAUUUUUUUGAAAAAUAUUUAUCAAGGUGCAUUAUUGCACCCUUAAAUUUUAAAAUGUCUCGGAAAGAUGCAUACGCCGCAUUCUUAAUUGAGACGAAUAUUUUAAACGCAUUUAAAAUUUACCUAAAUUCCUAAUAACAAACUAAAGCAAAAUUCAUUUAAUGCAAUUAAUUAAAUCAAUAAAUAAUUAUUAAGUUCUAUUAAUAAAAAUAAUAAAAUAAAUAAAAAUAUAAAUCUACUAUAUUGCGUUAAAUUUAAUAUGUCCCCAAAAUUUAAUUUAUUCAAAAUUCAUACAAAAUCAAAUCAUAUUUUAUAAGAUAAAUUAACACACACAAAAAAAAUCCCAAUAAUCUAAUUUAAACAUAAAUUUAUGAAAAAAAACAUUGAGCAACCCUAAAAUAAAGAUAUAUAAAAUCCAAACGAGAUAUAAUUAUUUUUAAAAUAUUGGAGAUUAAAUUAAUAUCAUAUUUUAAUUAUAAGUUGAUAAGUGAUGGAAUAUUGCUAGAUAAGGAGAUUAAUAUAAUUUCUCAUAAAGUAAUAAUAAAAAAAAUAACAAAAAAUUCGAAAGAUAUUUAGCAUUAACAUUUUUAAAUAGUCUGCAUAAAAAAAGAAACAGAUAGCGUAUUUUUAAAAUAAACGGAGAUAGUCACUGGCCGGAGUUGUCAACGGCAUCUAUGCUCACCUGUCCGAUUGAAGAUGACGGCAUGGCUAAUUUACCGGUAUGGUUCGCUGUAGUUUGCCAAAAGGAGAGGAAGGAGCGCUGGCGGGUAAGGGAAGGCGCUGUUGCGCCAGAUUCCGGCGACGGAGGGAGAGAAAGGGGUCGACGGCGUAGGUGAGGGGAGGGGGGAUAGCGCCGGCAGCAGAUCUGGGAAGGGAUGUGGAGGCGGCACCGGUGAUGGGAUGCUUAGUAUCGCCAGAAAAGGGGGAGGGGAAAGGCGAUGACAAUGGCUGUCUCACCGUGUCGUGGAGGUUUCGGUCACAUCUGGCGCGCGUUGAUUGGUGUCGCCGGCGGAUUGAUACUGUUCCAGUAGUGUGGGGGUCGUUUCCGACAAGAAAUUUGGCUGGAGAGGACCAAUGUUGAUUGUUUUCCAAUGAUGGAUAAACUUUUUUCCGGCAAAAUUUCGCCGAAAAAUUAAUAUAAGAAUCUAUUAUUUUUUCAUCUUCUUCAAUUUUCUCACUUUUUUUUUCGGUCUCUUACUGGUUUCUCCUUGUCUUUGUGUGAAUGCGUGUGUUGUGCUGUUGUGUAUAUUAUUUCGAUCAACUAUAUUCAAUAUACCCUUGUUAGUGAUGUCGACGGAGUGGCUAGUGAUAUUUUGUGUAUUGUUAUCUGUGAGUGAAAUUAUAACAAUGUUCAUGUAACUGUAAUAGUACCCCUUUUCUUAAACCAGACACUAUCAUAUGCAAUAUUUUUAUAUCUAACACAAUAUAAAUGUAUAAAUAUUUAGUGAUUUGAUAUCAUAAUGUAUAAUAAUAGAAAAUUUACAUAAUCAAUCAAAUACACAUACCGAAUAAUGCGUAAGAUCACUUGAACAUUUUCAUUCAUGCUAGUUCAUAAUAAAGUUUAUAGGAUAAAUUAUACAUGAUUAAAUAAAACUUGUGAUGAAGCAAAAAAUCGACAUCAAAACUCAAACAGAAACCCGAAACUCCAUUUGCUACUCUUUCUCUUCUUUCUUUUUUGUGUUUGAUUUUGAGUGUUGUUUUCUUCUCACUUUUUGUCCGAUUUCUCUCUGUAUUUUUUAGUGUGGUCUUUCUCUCUCUGUACUUUUUAUCUCUGUUUGAUUUGUCUGAUACAGUAUCUGAGGAUGUGAAAAAGUACGUUCGUUUCCUGGGGUUGGGGAGUCCUUAAAUAGAAGGAUUUUGGGGGGAGUAGUUUAGGUAGUUUAGGAUUUAAAUUUUAAUUUUUUUUUAUAUAUAUAGGAUAAUGAUCUCAUUUUUUAAUAAAUAAAUAAAUUAUAUAAAAAUUAAAUAAUAAUAAUAAUAAAAUUAUAUAAAAAAAUAAAUAAUAUUAAUAAUAAAAAAAUAUUAACUAAUUAAUUUUUAUACUUAAGAAACAUAGAAUAAAAAUAUUACUAAUUUAAAAUAAAAAUAUAAUUAAGAGAAAAUAAAAUUACUAGCUUAUUUAUAAAAAUCUAAAUUAAAAGAAAAUAUUUUUUGAAAUUUUUUUUGUAUUAUUUUAAAAAAAAAAUCUUAAAAUGUAACUUUACUUUUUGAUUUUUUAAAAAAUGAAAUCUACUAAAAAAAAUUAAAUAAGAACUAAAGAUAAUAUUUUGACAUAAAUAAAUAUUUAAUGUCAGAAAAAAAGUCAGUCAAAACUCGGGAGUGUAAAAAAUCACGUGUCUACACCCCCCAAGGAAGCAGUAAGUCCAAUUCUAAUCUAGUUUUUGUUUUAAUUAAUGAUUAAAUGAUUUCAUCAUCAUUCUUAAUAUAUGUAACGAUUUAUAUUAGAUUGUCCAUCCGUGUCUUGUUUCGACCAACCGAGAGUUGAAGAUGCCAUUUUUUCUUACUUUACUGUCUGUGCAAACUUUAUCGGACCCUAAGGUCGUUGAUGGAAUAAAAAUGGAAUUGUUUUGAGCAACAACCAUCACAAGAAAGACAAUUUUGGAGGGUGGGGCUAAUGAUGCUCCUCUUACGGUUUUUUAAACAACAAGCCAUUAUGAUUAUGAUGAUAAUGGUUGUACAGAUUUUUCUCCAUAUUUUGCCGCAUCUAGCGAAUGUUCUUCAUGCAAAUGUCAAGAAUGUAAGGCAAAACACGAUAGAGUGAUUAAUGCUAUUAAUACACCUACUUCUUCUGUAAAGAAAAUAACAUCUAAGAGGGGUGUCAUUCCAUCAAAGAGGAUUUCAUAUCCAGACACUCCACUAGAGAUCAAGGCGACUAAGAGAAGAAGGAAAGACACUUCCAAGGCAUCAUCAAUCAUUAAAAAAAGCAAGAUUGCAAUGCCUCUGUUUUUAUCUUGCACCGAUGUUCAGUAUGCAAGGGUCACAGAAGAGCAGCAUGAGCUGAAGAAGGUGAAUGUACAUCAUUUGUUCCAAAAAAAUAAACAGGCACAUAUCUAUUUCAACAGAUGAUACAUCUGCUGAAAAUUAUCAAACAGAUAUAUACAUCUGUUACAAUUGUUGUCUAACCUGUUGCAUCAGAUUUGUUAUCUAUUUCAACAGAUGAGUCUUAUGUUGCAAAAGAUGGGUCAUCUGUUUGAAAUUAUAUACUGCUCUGAUUUACCUAUUCGAAUUUGUCCCAACAGAUAAUCCAUUUGAUGCAACAUAAGACUCAUCUGUUGCAACAGAUGAAAAAUCUGUUGUAUGUCUCUACUUAGCAUUGACAAUUCUGGCUUUCCAGAUGGAUGUCACAGCUACUGCCGAAAAGCAUAAUAUCACAGUUGAUAACCCAUCAAUUGCUUCCAAAGAUGAAGAAAAAGUGGAGCCUGUCAGUUUGGG
rnacentral:lncRNA from 1 species